AUAUCUCUCCGUACGGGAAGGAUGAGAAGCUUCGACUAAGGUUCGAUUCGAGCGCAGCGAGAAAGCGUUGCCGCAGGCAACGACCCGAAGGGCGAAGCGC
rnacentral:sRNA from 1 species